rnacentral:lncRNA from 1 species
AAAAAACAGUAGUAGCUGAUGCCACUUUGUAGGUUUCAGGGAACACACUCAGUUUGUCUUACAGUUGGUUUCUUCGCAGGCCAAGUUGGAGGUCGCUCUCGGUGCCCCUGAACUAGAAGUUUCUGUGCAAAUUGUGCAGAAAGCGCUCCACAAACUCAGACUCUUCACUCGGGAGAUGGGAUUAAAGGGGGAAGAAGGGAUGCAGUUGUCAGCAAGAGACUUUGCCUACACCCUUGCACGGAUCUAUGGAGGAGUUCUCUUACUGGAACAUGCUGCCAGGCCCAGUGCAUCUGCUACAGACAUCUUUACUGCACAGAGGUAUUAAAGAAGCCAUAGCUGCACUCCACAAAGGGCUGCUUGAGCUGUCAGAGGCUACGCGAACACACUUCUGUUGCUCCAAGGGCAGUCCUGAGAUGCUGGAAGGCAGGACAGCUCUGUGAGGGAGGGGAAGAGGAGAGCUUGCCUGGGACAAAUGUCACAUAAGAUCCAGAGAAAGGGCCAUUUUGGUGCUCCAGGGAGACAAGGGCCAGGGGUGGUGGCAGGAGAACUGGAGACCACCACCUCGUAAAAGAGGAGAGCUGUGUGCUUGUUCAAGGAAAGAUGAGGCAGGCAGACACAGCGAUGGCUGAAACUCACCUGGUAGUUUGAGGUUACCAGCCCAGUUUUUGGGACUGGGUCACCCAGUACUACCUAUUUUUCUAAAAAGAUUUUGCACAUUUGUGGUCUCUAGAUUCCAGAACCUGUGACCAGGCACAUGCCCUCUGAUCUCUGAUCAGUUCACAAGAAAUGUUCAUUUUGACAUUGUUCGGAGUGAGAGGAAUUCAGACAUGGUGCAACACUUUAAUCUGAAUCUGAAAGUUUCAGCAUAAAUGAGACACACUUUUCCUGAACCUUCCACAGGUGGUGUCAACAAGACCUGUGCCUUGUGGACAGAGAAGACAAGGCCGGCUCUUACAGCACUGCAGCCGUUUCACUGGAUCACACUUUGGUUUUUGGUGGAUACCCAUUUGUGAGAGGAAAACUGUAAGGAAGCAUCAAGAAGACAAAGGAAGGGCCAUGCGCUCGGUUGCACAAACAAAUAGAACAUGCACACUUCUGAUUCUUUUCUGCAGAAUAUUAACUGAUUGCUUAUUAUAAGAAUUUAAUCAUGUGACGGCAAGUCAAUUCUGCCUUAUGGCGACUCUUUCCAGGGUUUUCCAGGUAGGGAACCAAGAGAAGUGAUCCUCGGACUGUGCACCUGUGGAGGACAUUUCUUCUUGUGUGGACUUUUGCUAUAUAUGAAAUUCGUGGGCUAUCUUUAUAUAAUUGCUAGAGCCCCAUACUGUAUACAU